CAAACUGGAGAUGGCGACCGGCGCACGGGUGAGUAACACGUAUCCAACCUGCCGAUGACUCGGGGAUAGCCUUUCGAAAGAAAGAUUAAUACCCGAUGGCAUAGUUCUUCCGCAUGGUAGAACUAUUAAAGAAUUUCGGUCAUCGAUAGGGAUGCGUUCCAUUAGGUUGUUGGCGGGGUAACGGCCCACCAAGCCUUCGAUGGAUAGGGGUUCUGAGAGGAAGGUCCCCCACAUUGGAACUGAGACACGGUCCAAACUCCUACGGGAGGCAGCAUG
rnacentral:rRNA from 1 species